GAAAAGAACAAAUGGACAGUUGGGUUUAGGAAAAGAAGAACAGGACAGUUUGGUUUAGGUUUGUGAAAGAAGAGCGGGACAGUUGUGUUUAGAAAAAGGAGAACGCGACAGUUGGGUUUAGGAAAAGAACAAAUGGACAGUUUAGUUUAGGAAAAGAAGAAGUUGAUAGUUAGGUUUAGGAAAAGAAGAACGGGAGAGUUGGGUUUAGGAAAAGAAGAACGGGACAGUUAGGUUUAGGAAAAGAACAAAUGGACAGUGAGGUUUAGGAAAGGAAGAACGGGACAGUUAGGUUUAGGAAAAGAAGAAAGUGACAGUCGGGU